AGAGUUUGAUCCUGGCUCAGAUUGAACGCUGGCGGCAGGCCUAACACAUGCAAGUCGAGCGGUAGGGAGAAGCUUGCUUCUCUUGAGAGCGGCGGACGGGUGAGUAAUACCUAGGAAUCUGCCUGGUAGUGGGGGAUAACGUUCGGAAACGGACGCUAAUACCGCAUACGUCCUACGGGAGAAAGCAGGGGACCUUCGGGCCUUGCGCUAUCAGAUGAGCCUAGGUCGGAUUAGCUAGUUGGUGAGGUAAUGGCUCACCAAGGCUACGAUCCGUAACUGGUCUGAGAGGAUGAUCAGUCACACUGGAACUGAGACACGGUCCAGACUCCUACGGGAGGCAGCAGUGGGGAAUAUUGGACAAUGGGCGAAAGCCUGAUCCAGCCAUGCCGCGUGUGUGAAGAAGGUCUUCGGAUUGUAAAGCACUUUAAGUUGGGAGGAAGGGCAUUAACCUAAUACGUUAGUGUCUUGACGUUACCGACAGAAUAAGCACCGGCUAACUC
rnacentral:rRNA from 1 species